CACAUACACAUGGAGUGAGUGAACCAUCUAACACAACGACAACGUCAGAUUGAGGGUGUUAGCUCCUUGUCAGCUUAGAAAAGGUACGGCAUCCAAAUUUCAGGAGGCACCUGGUUAUUUACAAAGUUAAUCACGGAAAAUUGUGCUAAACUUGGCCAGAGAACUCAGGCGCCGCGUGAUUGACGGUGACCGAGCAAAGAUGCCGAUAUAGAUCUUUAGAAAAGACGAACAUAUUUUUGGACGAGGCAAAGAGACAUCUGUAUUCGCUUUGACUGAUAUGUUGAGAGCGAGUGAAUAUCUAAAAACUUCCUUCUCCUUCUCUCUCUCUCCCUUUUUUUUUUUUUUCUAUUGCAGACGAGAGCUUCUUCAACAUUUGCCAAGAUGACAACGGUUGCCCAAAUGUUCUAUUUGAUGUUUCGAGCCUCAAGAGCAAGUGGGAGAGAAAGAGUGAUACAGAGGGAGAGAAACCGAGGGGAAAACAGAAGAGGAAUAAACGGUAAUAAGAGAGAGAGGGAGAAAGGGGAGACUGAAAGCGAAUGAGAAAGAGAGGAGUGGAAAAGAACAUUAGCUUGAGAGUUGCCAAGUUCACUAUCUGCCAGCCUGAGGUGUGUGCAGUCCUGGGUGUUGUAGUGGCAGUGAAGGGGGAGGAGGGGUGAGGCGGUGGGUGUCAGGUAUGUCUGUCUUUCUAUCCCAGCACUCCAAACAUGCGCUUUUUUGCUGCAGCUGCUGCUCGCCCGGAUAACAAAUCAUUCCCUACAGCGCCUUCUGGUAACCUCGUCAGUCCCGCUAAUAACAUUUGGAGAUGCUAAGCUUGUAAAUUAGCGAAUCUGGACCGAGGAGAUAUUAUUUAUGCUUGUCUCCCAUCCUGAAAGACUUGUCUUGAUGGGUAAAUUGUGUUUAAUUCUUGGAGGAAGCCGUUUUUUUUCUGCGCCCCAGCAUGAGAUGAGAUUAAUCCCUUGACAACCUUUGCAGGCGCACUUAAAAAUUGCUCCCAAAUGUCACUGUCGCCGCUGCCACCGCCGAGAUUUGUGGAGGGGUGGAAACAGGGUAGAAAACCAGCGACGUUAAGAAAUGGGGACACAUCCGACGCACAUGAUCCUUCCCCUAUUCACACCGGCAUAUUCUUUAAAUGUUUUUUCUUUCCCUUCUUAGCAUUCACAGAAAAAAAAAAAAGAACAUACAAACUCGAGGCACAAGCCAUCGCCCGCCCACGUACACAGACACACACCUUGCACCCUCCUAUAGAUUCUGUUCUUGUUAUACUGACACACACAUACUGUCGCAAAUAAAACUGUAUCACUUCAAACUGUUUGAGCAGCGACAGCAGACACGCGUUCACACACAGGAGCGCUUGUCCUAACACACACACACAACACUUACAGCUUGUUACCCAGAUUGCUUUUUACUAAUUUGUUCCCUCUGAGUGAGAGUUUGUUUUUGAUUUAAUGUUUCUUUAUGGCUGUAAGUGAAAAAGGCACUUUUAGAUUUAUUUACCAAGAAGGCAGACAUGGCCUGAGAGGCCUCGCCGCCCGGAGCUGCUUUUUAUUUGCACAUAAAUCUGAUAACUCAACUUAAACACAGGGGAAGAAACACCUUCAGCCAUCCUCAUGGAGAGCUCAGACACGUCUUAUUCCGCUUUAGCUUCACGCUGAUGGGCUUUUGUAGACAGGUCUGUUUGGCUGAUGAGUCCUGGACCUGGUUCAAGCUUCCCCGCAGCUCCUAGAUCAACUUCUCAGAGAGGGGGCACGGGCAGCGGGGGCUACCACUUUCUUAAUGACCCAAAGAGUGGCGGACAUACCAACUGUCAACACACAUCCGCCUCCUCCUUCUCCUCCAUGUCUCCCUCUCGGUGUUUGUUUCUCUCCGUGCGGUCUCAUCGUCAUGCUUUUCGCCUUUCCCUGAUUGUUGAGGCGCUUUUUUCCCCCCUCGAUUCACAGCUGGGAUUGCGGGGAGGGAGGGAGGCAGAGAGUGAGAGUAAAAGAGGGGGGAGAGAAAAAAACAGAAAUGCACAUAAUUAGAUUGUAAAUGCUUCAUGAUAUUUGAGGACUUCAAAGGGCACAACUGAAACGAUGAGCGACUUUUGUGUCUGUGUGUGUUUACGCCUCUCUGUUGACAAGUGCUUCUGCAGGCACGCCUGUUGUCCUCCGCGCGCCUGCUUGUUAUGAGUAUCUGCAUGCUCGCGUGUGUUAUGCAUUAUCAUUAUCAAAGGGGGCAGCUGCUGACCCCUCUUUUUUUUACCGGCUUUGCAGCGAGGAAAACACUCAGAAGUUCAUUUCACACCAGCGUGUGAAGAGUUCAGCAGACGCCGCAGCGUGACUGAAAACAAUGAGCUUUAAUGUGUAAAAAAUGACUUGCAAAGUGCUGUUACCCAAAGUUCCACCGGCAUCUGACCCCCUACACUCAAACAUAAAAUGACACGCGUGACUGUUUUCAUGAAACAAGUCAUUUCUGGUAAUUACAGUUAUUUGCUGCAGCCGUCCCUACACACCAAUUACACCCGUCUGGGGCAUUUCUGUGAGUUUUCUGUGAGGGGAGAAAAAAGCAAAGCUGAAGGCAAACAAUUGUCACAUGAAAACACUAAAACAAAAUGUGACGAGACAAUAAUAUCUUUCAUCUGUCAGCGCUUUCUUUUACUUCUUCAAAGGCAGGAAGUUGACCUCUGACCCGCGGCUGGAGAAGAUUAGUCCGCAUCCUCCGUGUUGGUCAGCGUCCAGCUCAUUUUGCGCCCCGGCCUCUGAGCAUGCUCAUUGUAACCGCAUUUAUUUUUGGGAACAACUUUGAUGAAAUAUGUUACAUGACAAAAAAGGGGCUUUAAAGUUGUUUUCGCCGAGCUGAGGAGAUGUCAUUUUAACAGAACAUAAUCCAUAAGCUGAAUAACAAGCAGAGAUGUUCGCUCUGUCCCCUCUCCUCUCUCCCUGCGUGUGUGUGUGUGUGUUUGUGUGACACAGCUACAUAAUGUCUGUCUGUCGCUGUCUGGUAGGCUGCAGAUCUGGCAACACACAUAACAAGCGCACACACCCAGAAAGAUCUGUCCUUUUUGCAGACUAAUAUUUAUUUAUUGGAACGUUAUAGAGCCAGCAUACCUCUGAAAUUGACAGAUUGGCGCAACACUGAAGGCAAAGGUUCCACAGCUUCGUAUCAACACGGAUUGAGAAAACUCUAUUUACUGCAUAUGCACAACAUUUUAACAUCCUACACACACACGCACAUUUAUUACACAACAAAUGAACUCUCAUAAUCGGUCCAAUCUGAAGCCGUAAAUCUGAGUGCAGGUUUUGGAUAAUGCUGUGCGGCUCCUCCAGAAGGUAAGUGUCAAAUCUUUGAUGGGAGAAAAAACUACCUAAAAAUAAAACAAGGAGGAUCUGCAGAGAGGCCGCUCACAACAUGACAAGUUAAUUGUUGCUUUUAAAAGGUUAGCAUGGACACGUAGAUUUAGCUAGAAACCUUUGCAGGUUAAAUCAAAGAAUAUGCUUCAUCUUAAAUAACCAAAUAACCAAAAAUAAAUCUAAAAUAAGAAAUCAGCUCCUGUGCUGUCUUUUUAAAACACUUUAAAGCAUAAACAUAUUAAAGCUCCUGUGAGGACAUUUCAGUUGAUUCGGUUUUGGCGCCCCCUGUGGGUGUCGCAGUCUUUGCGUAACUUGUCAUUUUGACAGUCAAAUAUUUCAUCUAACGUGAAUAUUUUACGUUGAAGUUGUUAAAACGGAUUCGUCUCUAGCUGAUGGCUUACACCUACCUUCUCAUACCAGUUUCGGACCUCAAAAAUUCGGAUCCAAUUAUAUAUGAUUUUUAAUUGUUUUUGUCUAUUUAUAAAUUUCAGUCUAUUUAAAAAAAAAAAACAAAACUGAUAUAUAUUGUCUAAAUAUAUCCAACCAUCAUUACAGAAAGCUUAAAAAUAACGAUUGUUACAACCCAACCAAAUAUAUUAACAAGAAUUUAUAAAUUCAAAUAUAAAAAGACGACAGGAGGAGGAUUUUUGUCACUGAGCAUCACUUUCACCGGGACAAGAUCAAAUCAGCAACAAUAAAAGGGUUUCCACUUUGUCCACAGAGGGCGCCAAACUCAACACAGACAGAAAGUUCCUAACUGGAGCUGUAAUAUCUAUCUAAGAAUCAGGGGAAAUCUCUGUACAAAGGAGACUGGGCAGAAAACUGAGAGUGGAUUUCUGUAAUCUUUGGACUCCUAGGCAGCACAGAUAUUUUUUGGAAAAUACUGAAUGCUGGUGUAGGUUUAGGAGUGGCAUAUGCGGCAAUCUAGACCCAGCUCAUUUCAGAGUAGACCUUCAUAUUUCAGUGAGACAACGCCACAUCACAUCCUGCAAAUAUUACAACAGCAUGGUGGCGUCCUGGUGCUAAACUUCCCGGCCUGCGGUCAACUUCAUCGUCUAAGAACAUUUUGUUGCAUUAUACAGUAACUAUUAGAGAUGAAGUCCUGUAGCAGACAAGAAUCGGACCAUGUUUCACCUUCAGAACUUCAGAAACUGGUCUCCUGUAUUCCCAGAAGUGAGUGGAGGAAGUUUGUGGAAGUGAUGCUACAGGAUAGAAAACAUGUGAGUGAGUAUGGUUCAGUUUAGUCACUCUUUUUUGAUCCCUCCUUUUUUUAGGAUACUAAUAUGAUGUAGUUUAGAUACUAGAGAGUGUCCAGAUCAAGUCCUUUACGUUAAAGACCGUUUCAGCAGUGUGUGGUGACUCUGAAUGACCUUCACCUCCACCUAUCAGGUGUUUCAGAUGUUAAAAAUCACCACUGGUUUGUAUAAAUUUACAAUCUUCACACUGAUGGUCACAUUUGCUUUGACUUCAGUCUGUUUAUGACAUGCCAAAAAAUCACUGACACUGGCUUUAACAUCACAUGUAAACAGUAGAAACAGUAGAAAACAGACGACUUGUUACCUUGGACACAUGAUUAAAAAAGAAUUAUUUAACUCCUGCUCAUGCAAAUAUCCAGAAAGAGUCCAAAAGAGUCCUGAAACUUUAACUGACGUGUUCAGAUCUACUACUUCCCGUACUUUAGCUGGUGAAGGACUUUGUGUUACUUAAGACAGUAAAAGAUGGAAAAGCAGCUGGAGUACCUGACAUACAGUUUAUUGACAUCACAGUAUGUCGUUUCUGGGUAAUUAAUUCCUAAAAAUGUCCAGAAAAAAUAAGAAUUCCCUGUCCCCAGCUUUACAAUAUUUACAGCAGUAUAUGCUUUUUGCAGACACUGAUAGAGAACAUUUCAGAUGCAUUAAGUGCAUUCGCAGAUAUUCAGACAUUCUGUACAUAUACUCUUCACAGAUUUAUAGUCUCCGAGUUUGAGCCCAAUGUCAUCCUUCAGAUUUAUAAAUCUAAAUCAUAAAUACAUUUAAUUUAUGUAUUCACUAAGUUAUGAUUUUAAUUUUCUGCUUUGACUUUACAUAAAAAUAAAAACUAACAUAAAAGUUAGAAGUUUGGAUCUGAUGCAGUAAAAGUUGAUUUUAUCCAGCUCAGAAUUUAAAUGCAAUAAUAAGAUCAGCUGAGUAGCUACAACGUAGUAUUAGGGCCAUGUUAAGAAAAAAAAUUUAAGACUUUGAGAUUAAAGUCGUUAAUUUACCAGACUUAAGAUAUUACUAACAAGUAUAAAGUCCUAAUAAAAUCGUAAUAAAAUUAAGUAGUAAUUAACUAAUUACUUGCAAGAAUAAAGUUGUAAUAAAAUAAUUUCUUACGAGAAUAAUAUCGUAAUAAAGUAAUUACUUAUGAGAAGAAAGUUGUAAUACAAUCAUGACUUGUGCGAAUAACAUCAUGAUAAAGUAAUUAUUUACGUGAAUAUAGUCGUAGUAAAGGAAUUACUCAUGAGAAUAAAGUCGUAAUAAAGUAACAACUUACGAGAAAAAAGUCAUUAUAAAAUUAUCGCUUACAAGAAUAAAGUCGUAAUAAAGAAAUUACUUACGAGAGUAAAGUGGCUAUAAAGUAAUGACAAGAAUAAAGUCAUUACUAUCGAGAAUAAGUUGUAAGUAGUAACAAGUAACAAGUAGUAGUAAGGAGUAAAGUCAUAAUAAAGUAAUAACUAACAAGAACAAAGUCGUCAAAGUAACUACUUUAACUUAACUUUAACUUUAGUUAUUCGCGUUAGUUAUUACUUAUUAUGACUUUAUUCUUGUUAAUAAAUAAUAAAGUCGUAAUAAAAUCAUUACUUAUGGGAGUUAAGUUCACUAACAAGAAUAAAGUCGUCAAAGUAACUACUUUAUUUUGACUUUAUUCUCGUAAGUUAUUACUUUAUUACGACUUAGCGUAGUAAGUAAUGUUUUUAUUACAACUUUAUUCUCGUAAGUAAUUACUUAUUACGACUUUAUUCUUGUUAGUCAUGAUUUCAUCCACUUAAAUCAACGACUUUAAUCUCAAAGUCUUAAUUCUUGUUUUUCUGAAUGUGGCCCUAAUACUCUGUCGUAGGUAUCAGUGCUUUUGUUGCAUCAGAUUGUCUUGACUGGAGUUUCAGCAUCAGAAUAAACCUCGAUGACAGUGUCACAGAUUUAUACCCGAGCGGAUCUGUUUCAGUGCGAGACUCCAUUCUUGCUGCUGAAGUAAUCCCACAGACCUCCAGUCCAGACGAGUCCUCUGCUGAGUCUGACAGUGUUUAUGAAGCUGUGUUUUGUGGUCAGUGUGGUCUCUCACUCGUCCCUGAGGCCUUGUAAAGAUCCUCGCCACAAAGCUGCUCAGACGCACUGCGCCUCGACCACAAUACUCGAACAUACACAUCUGUUGAGCAGCAGCGUGUCUGAGCUCAAAAUUUAUGUUUGCAGCCCGACGGGACAUCAGGAAGAGUGGAUGUCUUACUGGGAGGUUACUCCUCUGAUCGCCGAGGAGAGCUCUUUUAGCUUUUUUGGCCGAGUUUUUCCAUCAUAAAAGCCCAAAUUUAUUCAAAUCCUGUAACUUAAUAAUGGCAAAGUCCCUCAGAGCCAUGCUGAGGAAGCAUUAUUAAUCUCUCAAACACUUUUUCCCAUUAAAAAGAAUCAUUUGAUUUUAAUUGUGCCAUCCAUUAUUAUUCUUUGCAUCCUCCUGAAACAGUGCGAAUGAAACUCCACCAAAGCUAUGAUGAUGAUGUGAAAAUAAAUUCCAGUUAUCGUGCAUAAUCGUCGGAAUUUACUUUUUGAUUAGUGCAACCAAAAGCUUUUCAUUAUCCAAAAAGCAUUUCAGUGACAUAAAGCCUUCAUUUGAAUUCAUUUAAAGCAAUUCAGAGCGGCGUUUUGGUAUCGUGAAUGAGAUUGGAUUGGAAUUUCAAUGAACAUCAAUGCUCUGACCAUUUUGUUUUACUAAACCUUUUUCUUUCCACCACAUUUAUCCCCUCUCUCUCUCUCACACACACACAUGCACACGCGCACACGCACUGCCGGCCCUGUGUCCCGGCGAUGAUGGCUAACACAUGCCGUUUAAACAAUCGCCCCAAUCCCCCCUUAUCUUCAGGAGUUAUGGGCCUAAAUCUACUCAUAAUACACAGCUCACUGAGGGUGUAAUCCCUGAGAACAUCGGAAUAAAUCCAGGCUAUAUCCGCUACAUGCAGACUAGCGGCCAGAGCCAGGGCCAUUAUGAUGCGACUGAGGAAGAGGAGGAGGAGGAGGAGGAGGGUUAGGGAGAGGCACUAAUGGGUCGUCUAUGAAUUCAUAUUAACACCGAGCCAUUAGGACACCUCCAUCCAGGAAAUCCCUCUGACCUCCUGGUACAACAGCUGUCUGAAGUUUAAACUUUAAAACCGACAAUCCCUCCACUGUCACGUCUCUUCCUCUCUUCUCUCUUCUCUCUUCUCUCUCGCCGCUCCUGGAUUGUCCUGAUCUGUCCCAAUCGAAAAAGUCUUAACACAAGAACCCACAGGCGGGGGAAACAGAGCCAACCGGUCACAUUUGGCUGCGAUGAAAGGGGACACAAAAGCAAGGGGAAGGGGAGGGGGGUUGGACAAAUAUGUGACGACAACCGAGAGGGCAGAGUGUCUUUGGCGCAACCUUUCGCAACCUCUGCUCAAAGAAAUAAAAAUAAACUGGAAAAACAAAGCUGGUGGUAUCAAGUUAAUCUCAACUGGGAUUCAAAGUCAACUGUCAGGACACAUGGUUGUCCGCUCCAUGACUCGUGGCGUUUGUAAAACAGUCUGGAGAGCGUGCACGCCGGAGAAAUCCUUGUCGUAUUAAAAAAAAAGUCAAAUGCAAAGAGAGGAGUAAGUGUUUUUUUUAUCAUCUUGAAGCGAAAUUAAGUGACCAGGCAAUCAAAUUAAAAAUGCAAACUUGAGUGUCUCCUUCUCCUUUUCCUUUUCCCUCCUCGCUCCCCUCUCUCUCUCUCUUCUCUCUCACUCCCUCGUUCAGGCCUGAGGAAGCAGCCAAACAACCGUCUUGGGGGUGUGUGUUGGUAAUCGAGGCCCCUGGGCUCCCUGGCUCCUUGGCUCCUUGGCUGGACAACAGUUUCCUGGCCUGAAGGGGUCAGCGGUGGGCUGUCUGAGAAACUGGCAGCCAUGGGGGUUCCAGAGGGGAUGUUUUUCAGGAGGGUUUGGAGGAGGUGUGGG